ACAACACCUGACCCGACCCACUUCUUUAUUUAACUCCCUAAUGCCCAUAAACCUAGUUUCAUUCCCAAUACCCUCAAAACACAGCAACACAAGUGAACCCAAAAGCUCUUCAAGGGAAAAACGAUACCCCAACAUUCAUGUCGAGCCCCAGCUGGCAAAAAUCCAUUUCCGGAUAAAAUUCAAACAUCUUUUAUCGUCUCCAGCAUCUGUUCGGCCAUUUAUGGCAAGCAUUUAUGGAGUUUGGCCAUUAGCUUAAGCAUAGACAACUUUCAAACAGUGACUUUGUUCCAAUUUCUUUUGUUUUUCCCUUUUCUUUCUAGUACAAAUUCACAACCUUGUCAAUUUUAAACAAAUUUCAAAUUGGGAUUCAGUCCCACAACAAAUUUUAUAGCUAAACCCUAGUAGUUGGGGGUUCUAUAAAUAGGACCCCAUUUCUUCAUCCUCACCAAGUUGAACAUACCCAAAAAUUCUGAUUUAUCAAUUAACUCAGACUCCAAACAAGAGGAAAAGUUUCUUGCAAGUUGAGUUUUUCUUGAAUCAUCGGAUUAAGUUUAAAUUUUGUUCAAUUCGAGUUGGUUUGUGGUGUCGGUGAAAGUUGAAAGGUGAUUGUCGACUCUCGUCGCCCCCGUCGCUGCUCGGCAAAAAGGUGCAACGCAACCAUUUGGAGGAGAAGUGAGCAAUUUGGUGGACUUUUGCAAACUUUGGCAUCUCAACGUGGUGAUAUGAGAAGCAGAAACAGUAGAGAAGAAGUGACGAACUGAGGAGUCCGCUAUCCUUCCGCAUCGCCGAACAAAGGCGCAAGAAUUCUAUCUCUGACUAAUGGCACAAUCAGGCUUGUCAUCCGCAUCGCAUGAAGAAAGCUAGCAAAACAAGCUUCUGACCAAGUUUCAUGUUCAUGCAAUCCUUCCGCAUCGCGAAAGAAAAGCUCAAGUUCUGUUCAGCCGAUCCUUCCGCAUGUGGAAGGAAAGCGAGUCUCUGCACAGUUUUUCCCAUUUCGAUCGGGAUUAGGUCUACUUAUUUUUUGUUUUAACCCUAGAUUAUAAAUAGAUGUUUUAUUAGUUGUAAACGACGUGCUGGGAUUAUUCUAAGACUUGUAAGUCGUC